AGUUAUCGUUUAUUUGAUAGUACCUACUUACUUGGACAACCGUGGUAAUUCUAGAGCUAAUACAUGCUAAAAACCCCGACUUCGGAAGGGGUGUAUUUAUUAGAUAAAAAACCAAUGCCCUUCGGGGCUCCUUGGUGAUUCAUAAUAACUUAACGAAUCGCAUGGCCUUGCGCCGGCGAUGGUUCAUUCAAAUUUCUGCCCUAUCAACUUUCGAUGGUAGGAUAGUGGUACGUACCCUUCGUAACUGGUAAUGAAUUUUGGUGUCCAAAUCAACUAACAUGUUUGCUUACAGGCCUACCAUGGUGGCAACGGGUAACGGGGAAUUAGGGUUCGAUUCCGGAGAGGGAGCCUGAGAAACGGCUACCACAUCCAAGGAAGGCAGCAGGCGCGCAAAUUACCCAAUCCCGACACGGGGAGGUAGUACGUCGAUCCCCCCACAUCCCCCCGCCGAAGAACACAUUGCUAACGAACGGCAUCUAGGUGACAAUAAAUACUGAUGUGGAGCUCUUUAGGGUUUCACAAUUGGAAUGAGCGAAAUCUAAACCCCUCAACGAGGAACAAUUGGAGGGCAAGUCUGGUGCCAGCAGCCGCGGUAAUUCCAGCUCCAAUAGCGUAUAUUAAAUUUGUUGCAGUUAAAAAGCUCGUAGUUGAACCUUGGGCCUGGCCGGCUGGUCCGCCUCACCGCGUGUACUGGUUCGGCCGGACCUUUCCUUCUGGGGAACCGCAUGCCCUUCACUGGGUGUGCCGGGGAUCCAGGACUUUUACUUUGAAAAAAUUAGAGUGUUCAAAGCAGGCAUUAGCUCGAAUACAUUAGCAUGGAAUAAUAGAAUAGGACGUUGUGGUUCUAUUUUGUUGGUUUCUAGGACCGCC
rnacentral:rRNA from 1 species